GCAGUGCGGUAGUUGUUUCAAGUUUCAGUAAACACUUCUUUUUUUAUUUUUUCAAAUUAUUUUCCUAUAUUUUAAUGGUACACUCAAUAUUAAUUAUUAGUAUUGUUCUCCUCCUUUUUUAUUUUAGUUUUUUCAAAUUUUACUUACAUUAAUGUUUAAGAACAUAUUAUUUUUUAUGGUUUUAUAUGUGAACCAUUUAAAUUCAUUGGUUGCAAUUUUUUGC
rnacentral:lncRNA from 1 species